rnacentral:rRNA from 1 species
GAUGAACGCUGGCGGUGCGCCUAACACAUGCAAGUCGAGCGAGAAAGUUCUUCGGAAUGAGUACAGCGGCGAACGAGUGCGUAACACGUGAGAAUCUCCCCUUUAGUGAAGAAUACCCAUGAGAAAUCGUGGCUAAUACUGCAUAUGUCCGUUGUAAGAAAUUGCGAUGGAGAAAGGUGGCUUUAUGCUGCUGCUAAAGGAUGAGCUUGCGGCCUAUCAGCUAGUUGGUGAGGUAAUGGCUCACCAAGGCUAUGACGGGUAGCUGAUCUGAGAGGAUGAUCAGCCACGCUGGAACUGAGACACGGUCCAGACUCCUACGGGAGGCAGCAGUGAGGAAUCUUGCACAAUGGACGAAAGUCUGAUGCAGCGACACCGCGUGAAGGAUGAAGGUCUUCGGAUUGUAAACUUCUGUUAAGUGAGACGAAAUACCCAUGCCUAAUACGUAUGGGGAUGAC